rnacentral:lncRNA from 1 species
UGGGCUGCCCUUGGGAAAAGAGGAUCUAGGAUCCAGUUGGUGCAGCUUAUGGCUUGUCCCUGUGUGUAUAGUUGUUAAAUUAUUCUUUUAUUUUUAUUUUUAAGAAGUUAUUCUUUAGAUAAUAAUAGGCAUGUAGCUUAAAAGGAAACCUCAAAAGACACAAAGGAUUUGUCUCAUUUUAAAUUAAAAAAAUACUGUAUCAGCAUCAAGUAAUUAAACAUUUGUUGGAAUAUCA